AACGCGAAGAACCUUACCUGGGCUCGAAAUGCAGAGGGAGAUACCAGAGAUGGUAUCGUCCGCAAGGACUUCUGUAUAGGUGCUGCAUGGCUGUCGUCAGCUCGUGCCGUGAGGUGUUUGGUUAAGUCCAGCAACGAGCGCAACCCUUGUCCUGUGUUGCCACCCCGUAAGGGAGCACUCGCAGGAGACCGCCAGCGAUAAGCUGGAGGAAGGUGGGGAUGACGUCAAGUCCUCAUGGCCUUUAUGUCCAGGGCUACACACGUGCUACAAUGGCCGGUACAAAGCGUUCCCAAGCCGCGAGGUGGAGGCAAUCGCAAAAAACCGGUCUCAGUUCGGAUUGCAGGCUGCAACUCGCCUGCAUGAAGCUGGAAUCGCUAGUAAUGGCAGAUCAGCACGCUGCCGUGAAUACGUUCCCGGGCCUUGUACACACCGCUAGUC
rnacentral:rRNA from 1 species